AUGUGUGUUGAUUGUAGAGGCAUUAAUAAUAUUACUAUUCGUUAUCGUCAUCCUAUUCCUAGGCUAGAUGAUAUGCUUGAUGAAUUGAGUGGCUCUACAAUAUUCUCCAAAGUUGAUUUUCGUAGUGGCUACCAUCAAAUUCGUAUGAAAUUGGGAGAUGAAUGGAAAACAGCAUUUAAAACUAAGUUUGGAUUAUAUGAGUGGUUAGUCAUGCCUUUUGGGUUAACUAAUGCACCUAGUACUUUCAUGAGAUUAAUGAACGAAGUUUUACGUGCUUUCAUUGGACGAUUUGUGGUAGUUUACUUUGAUGACAUAUUGAUUUAUAGCAGAUCUUUGGAAGAACAUUUGGAACAUUUACGUGCUGUUUUUAUUGCUCUACGUGAUGCGCGUUUGUUUGGUAACCUUGGGAAGUGCACCUUUUGCACCGACCGAGUAUCUUUUCUUGGCUAUGUUGUUACUCCACAGGGAAUUGAAGUUGAUAAAGCCAAGAUUGAAGCUAUUGAGAGUUGGCCGCAGCCCAAAACGGUCACACACGUGAGGAGUUUUCUUGGCCUCGCUGGAUUCUAUAGGCGUUUUGUGAGAGAUUUCAGCACCAUUGCUGCACCUCUCAAUGAGCUUACAAAGAAAGAUGUGCCUUUUCUUUGGGGUACCGCACAGGAAGAAGCCUUCACGGUAUUGAAAGAUAAGUUGACACAUGCUCCUUUACUCCAACUUCCUGAUUUUAAUAAGACUUUUGAGCUUGAAUGUGAUGCUAGUGGAAUUGGAUUAGGCGGUGUGUUAUUACAAGAUGGCAAACCUGUUGCAUACUUUUCUGAAAAAUUGAGUGGGCCUAGUCUGAAUUAUUCUACUUAUGAUAAAGAAUUAUAUGCUCUUGUUCAGACUUUAGAAACAUGGCAACAUUAUUUAUGGCCCAAAGAAUUUGUUAUACAUUCUGAUCAUGAAUCUUUGAAACAUAUUAAAAGUCAAGCUAAACUGAAUCGUAGACAUGCUAAAUGGGUUGAAUUCAUUGAGACUUUCCCUUAUGUCAUUAAACACAAGAAGGGAAAAGAAAAUGUUAUUGCUGAUGCAUUGUCUCAUCGCUAUACUAUGCUUUCACAACUUGACUUCAAAAUAUUUGGUUUGGAGACCAUCAAAGAUCAAUAUGUGCAUGAUGUUGAUUUUAAAGAUGUAAUGCAGAAUUGUAAAGAAGGAAGAAUGUGGAACAAGUUUGUCGUUAACGAUGGAUUUGUGUUUCGUGCUAACAAGCUAUGCAUUCCAGCUAGCUCCGUUCGUCUUUUGUUGUUGCAGGAGGCGCAUGGAGGAGGAUUAAUGGGACACUUUGGCGUGAAGAAGACGGAGGACGUACUUGCUACACAUUUCUUUUGGCCAAAGAUGAGACGGGAUGUUGAGCGUUUUAUUGCUCGAUGCACUACAUGUCAAAAAGCUAAGUCACGACUCAAUCCUCAUGGUUUAUAUAUGCCUUUGCCUGUACCUAGUGUUCCUUGGGAGGAUAUAUCUAUGGACUUUGUUUUAGGUUUACCUAGAACAAAGAAGGGGAGGGAUAGCAUAUUUGUUGUCGUGGAUAGAUUCUCGAAAAUGGCACACUUUAUACCAUGUCAUAAAAGCGAUGAUGCUGUUAAUGUUGCUGAUUUGUUCUUUCGUGAAAUUAUUCACUUGCAUGGUGUGCCAAAUACUAUUGUUUCAGAUCGUGAUACUAAAUUUCUUAGCCACUUUUGGAGAUGUUUAUGGGCUAAGUUGGGGACUAAACUGCUUUUUAGUACUACUUGUCACCCCCAAACUGAUGGACAAACUGAAGUAGUCAAUAGAACGUUGUCUACUAUGCUUAGGGCUGUUUUGAAGAAUAAUAAGAAAAUGUGGGAGGAAUGCUUGCCUCAUAUUGAAUUUGCUUAUAAUCGUUCAUUGCAUUCUACUACUAAGAUGUGCCCUUUUAAAGUUGUGUAUGGUUUCCUACCUCGUGCACCUAUUGAUUUGUUGCCUCUUCCAUCUUCGGAGAAGGUUAAUUUUGAUGCUAAACAACGUGCUGAAUUGAUUUUAAAAAUGCAUGAGUUAACUAAGGAAAACAUUGAGCGUAUGAAUGCUAAAUAUAAACUUGCUGGAGAUAAGGGUAGAAAACAUGUUGUGUUUGCACCUGGAGAUCUUGUUUGGUUACAUUUGCGUAAGGAUUGA
rnacentral:rRNA from 1 species